GCACGAAGUUAGCCGGGGCUUCUUCUGCGGGUACCGUCAUUAUCUUCCCCGCCGAAAGGGCUUUACAACCCUAGGGCCUUCAUCACCCACGCGGCAUGGCUGGAUCAGGCUUGCGCCCAUUGUCCAAUAUUCCCCACUGCUGCCUCCCGUAGGAGUCUGGGCCGUGUCUCAGUCCCAGUGAGGCUGAUCAUCCUCUCAGACCAGCUACUGAUCGUCGCCUUGGUGAGCCGUUACCUCACCAACUAGCUAAUCAGACGCGGGCCGAUCCUUCGGCGAUAAAUCUUUCCCCGUAAGGGCUUAUUCGGUAUUAGCCCAAGUUUCCCUGAGUUGUUCCGAACCAAAGGGUACGUUCCCACGUGUUACUCUCCCGUCUGCCGCUCCCCUUGCGGGGCGCUCGACUUGCAUGUGUUAGGCCUGCCGCCAGCGUUCGCU
rnacentral:rRNA from 1 species